GACUGGAUAGCCUAGUGGUUAAGGCAUCACAUAUGAGUUGUGUCCUGGUUAAGGGUCCUUGGUUCGAAUCCAAGUCUAGUCA
rnacentral:tRNA from 1 species